rnacentral:rRNA from 1 species
AUUGAACGCUGGCGGCAGGCCUAACACAUGCAAGUCGAACGAGUGGCGGACGGGUGAGUAAUGUCUGGGAAUCUGCCUGAUGGAGGGGGAUAACUACUGGAAACGGUAGCUAAUACCGCAUACCAUCAGCUGUGCCCAGAUGGGGUUAGCUAGUUGGUGGGGUCACGGCGCACCAAGGCGACGAUCCCUAGCUGGUCUGAGAGGCUGACCAGCCACACUGGAACUGAGACACUGUCAAGACUCCUACGGGAGGCAGCAGUGGGGAAUAGUGCACAAUGGGCGAAAGCCUGAUGCAGCCAUGCCGCGUGUAUGAAGAAGGCCUUCGGGUUGUAAAGUACUUUCAUCGGGGAGGAGUUACCCGAAGAAGAAGCACCGGCUAACUCCGUGCCAGCAGCCGCGGUAAUAC